rnacentral:rRNA from 1 species
AGUCGAACGGAAAGGCCCUUCGGGGUACUCGAGUGGCGAACGGGUGAGUAACACGUGGGUGAUCUGCCCUGCACUUUGGGAUAAGCCUGGGAAACUGGGUCUAAUACCGAAUAGGAUCAUGCUCUUCAUGGGGUGUGGUGGAAAGCUUUUGCGGUGUGGGAUGGGCCCGCGGCCUAUCAGCUUGUUGGUGGGGUAAUGGCCUACCAAGGCGACGACGGGUAGCCGGCCUGAGAGGGUGACCGGCCACACUGGGACUGAGAUACGGCCCAGACUCCUACGGGAGGCAGCAGUGGGGAAUAUUGCACAAUGGGCGCAAGCCUGAUGCAGCGACGCCGCGUGAGGGAUGACGGCCUUCGGGUUGUAAACCUCUUUCACCAGGGACGAAGCGCAAGUGACGGUACCUGGAGAAGAAGCACCGGCCAACUACGUGCCAGCAGCCGCGGUAAUACGUAGGGUGCGAGCGUUGUCCGGAAUUACUGGGCGUAAAGAGCUCGUAGGUGGUUUGUCGCGUUGUUCGUGAAAAACUCAACAACUCAAUUGUGGGCGUGCGGGCGAUACGGGCAGACUAGAGUACUGCAGGGGAGACUGGAAUUCCUGGUGUAGCGGUGGAUGCGCAGAUAUCAGGAGGACACCGGUGGCGAAGGCGGGUCUCUGGGCAGUA